rnacentral:rRNA from 1 species
UACAGAGGGUGCGAGCGUUGUUCGGAAUUAUUGGGCGUAAAGCGCUGGUAGGUGGCUUGUUAAGUCGCGUGUGAAAUCUCCAGGCUCAACUUGGAAAAUGCGCGCGAAACUGGCGAGCUUGAGUGCCGGAGAGGGUCGCGGAAUUCCCGGUGUAGAGGUGAAAUUCGUAGAUAUCGGGAGGAACACCAGAGGCGAAGGCGGCGACCUGGAAGGUAACUGACACUGAGGAGCGAAAGCAUGGGGAGCAAACAGG